UACGGAGGGUGCAAGCGUUGUUCGGAAUCAUUGGGCGUAAAGCGCGUGUAGGCGGCUUGGCAAGUCGGUUGUGAAAGCCCGGGGCCCAACCCCGGAACUGCACCCGAUACUGCCUGGCUGGAGUCCCGGAGAGGAUGGCGGAAUUUCCGGUGUAGAGGUGAAAUUCGUAGAUAUCGGAAGGAACACCAGUGGCGAAGGCGGCCAUCUGGACGGUGACUGACGCUGAGACGCGAAAGCGUGGGGAGCAAACAGG
rnacentral:rRNA from 1 species